CCUACGGGUGGCAGCAGUGGGGAAUAUUGGACAAUGGGGGGAACCCUGAUCCAGCCAUGCCGCGUGUGUGAAGAAGGCCCUCGGGUUGUAAAGCACUUUCAGUGAGGAAGAACGCCUGGUGGUUAAUACCCAUCAGGAAAGACAUCACUCACAGAAGAAGCACCGGCUAACUCCGUGCCAGCAGCCGCGGUAAUACGGAGGGUGCGAGCGUUAAUCGGAAUUACUGGGCGUAAAGCGCGCGUAGGUGGCUUGAUAAGCCGGUUGUGAAAGCCCCGGGCUCAACCUGGGGACGGCAUCCGGAACUGUCAAGCUAGAGUGCAGGAGAGGAAGGUAGAAUUCCCGGUGUAGCGGUGAAAUGCGUAGAGAUCGGGAGGAAUACCAGUGGCGAAGGCGGCCUUCUGGACUGACACUGACACUGAGGUGCGAAAGCGUGGGUAGCAAACAGGAUUAGAUACCCCUGUAGUC
rnacentral:rRNA from 1 species